rnacentral:lncRNA from 1 species
GUUCUCGUUAGACCAUGAAAGCCAGCCCUUGUCUUUUCUGAGGAUUCUUCACUUUAUUUCAAUAGAACGUUAAGACUUUACUCAUAAUCUGUGAAUCCUGUGCUCGUGGAUAAAUGCAAAUAUUGCCAUCACCUUCUACUGACAGAAGACUCCGGUGUUACCAUGGAGAACAGUGUUAAUCCUUUUGUAAUUAGAGCUUUAUUUCAGUCUUCGUCGGGCAAGGAUGGAGUCGGAUUUUGUAAUAGAAGACCCGGUUUAUGUGCUGAGAUGGAUCCAAGCCAGACAGAGAGUGAUCGUGAGGACCGAAAAGUGACUUUGAGGACCAGGUAGGUGGUCCUGACUAUGCCAGUGAAGGAGACAGAAAGUCUUCAGCAGAGGAUGCGCCAUGAUCAUACCGUAAAGAGUAACUAUUGCUUUUAUAAUGUACACAGAUUAUAUUGAUAUCCCCAGCAAUAACGGGGAAGAAUAUUU